rnacentral:rRNA from 1 species
CCUACGGGCGGCAGCAGUAGGGAAUAUUGCUCAAUGGGGGAAACCCUGAAGCAGCAACGCCGCGUGGAGGAUGAAGGUUUUAGGCUUGUAAACUCCUUUUGUUCAAGAAGCUUAUGACGGUUUCUGACGAAUAAGCACCGGCUAACUCCGGGCCAUCAGCACCGGUAAUACGGAGGGUGCAAGCGUUAAUCGGAAUCACUGGGCGUAAAGAGUGCGUAGGCGGGGUAAUAAGUCCGAUGUGAAAUCCUGUAGCUUAACUACAGAACUGCAUUUGAAACUGUUACUCUGGAGUGUGGGAGAGGUAGGUGGAAUGCUUGGUGUAGGGGUAAAAUCCGUAGAGAUCAAGAGGAAUACUCAUUGCGAAGGCGACCUGCUGGAACAUUACUGACGCUGAGGCACGAAAGCGUGGGGAGCAAACAGGAUUAGAUACCCUUGUAGUC